UAGCUACCUUCUCGACUGUACCCUACCUAUCCCUUCUAACAAUCAACACAUUACAUACUAAUUUCUCACACAAAUUCUCAUUAAAAUAAGCAAAAAGGAUUCACAUCUUCAAUCUCAAUUCUCAAAUGAGCAAAAUCAGUGUCAACCUCAAAUCCUCAAUCUUAAAUUUUCUACUAAUUGUAAGCUUAUGGGUGAUUGAAAAUAUAAGGUAAAGUGAGUAUUUCAAUUUUUCCCUAUUCUUUUAUUUGUUGACUUUCUUGUUUAAUUUGAAGUUA
rnacentral:lncRNA from 1 species